GACGAACGCUGGCGGCGUGCUUAACACAUGCAAGUCGAGCGGAAAGGCCACUUCGGUGGUACUCGAGCGGCGAACGGAUGAGUAACACGUGAGUAAUCUGCCCUUGGCUUUGGGAUAGCCACCGGAAACGGUGAUUAAUACCGGAUAUGACCACUUCUCGCAUGGGAUGGUGGUGGAAAGUUUUUUCGGCCAGGGAUGUGCUCGCGGCCUAUCAGCUUGAUGGUGAGGUAAUGGCUCACCAUGGCUUCGACGGGUAGCCGGCCUGAGAGGGUGACCGGUCACACUGGGACUGAGACACGGCCCAGACUCCUACGGGAGGAAGCAGUGGGGAAUAUUGGACAAUGGGCGGAAGCCUGAUCCAGCAACGCCGCGUGAGGGAUGACGGCCUUCGGGUUGUAAACCUCUUUCAGCAGGGACGAAGCGCAAGUGACGGUACCUGCAGAAGAAGCACCGGCCAACUACGUGCCAGCAGCCGCGGUAAGAC
rnacentral:rRNA from 1 species